UACGUAGGGAGCAAGCGUUGUCCGGAAUCAUUGGGCGUAAAGCGCGCGUAGGCGGCCCUGUAAGUCCGUUGUGAAAGUCAAAGGCUCAACCUUUGAAAGCCGAUGGAUACUGCAGGGCUAGAGUCCGGAAGAGGCGAGUGGAAUUCCUGGUGUAGCGGUGAAAUGCGCAGAUAUCAGGAAGAACACCCGUGGCGAAGGCGGCUCUCUGGGACGGUACUGACGCUGAGACGCGAAAGCGUGGGGAGGCGAACGGG
rnacentral:rRNA from 1 species